UACGUAGGGGGCAAGCGUUGUCCGGAUUUAUUGGGCGUAAAGGGCGCGUAGGCGGCUUGUACAGUCAGACGUGAAAUUCCUGGGCUCAACCUGGGGGCUGCGUUUGAUACGUAUGGGCUUGAGUUCGGAAGAGGGUCGUGGAAUUCCCAGUGUAGAGGUGAAAUUCGUAGAUAUUGGGAAGAACACCGGUGGCGAAGGCGGCGACCUGGUCCGAUGACUGACGCUGAGGCGCGAAAGCGUGGGGAGCAAACAGG
rnacentral:rRNA from 1 species